CUUAUUUUUGUGUCAAUCUCUUUUUUAUUAAGUUAAAAACAUAACACACAUAAUAGGCAUUUGUCAGAUAUGUCAAAGAAAGGUCAUUAAUAUCACAUUGGCACAAAUAUGGACAGUACCUCAUUUUUAAAGGAUGGUGAAAGAGGAAAGUGAUAUAGUCUCGGAUAACUGCUCAUGAGGAAGAUUCAUAGAAGCAAGAAAAUGUGUCCUGGAGUAAGCAGGAAUUAUUACUCAAGAAAGAAAGGCACUUAUGGUAAAGGCAUAUUCAGUGGGGGUAAAAUCAUUGUGUUAACAUAGAGCAAUAACUUUUGGAGCCAUAUCAAGUGCGACUAAAGAAAUAACAAGACCAAACAAGAAGUAGUAGCCAGUCUUAAACAAGUUGCUCAGCCAUCGACCAAUUUAACCAAUUUAAGCUGGAAGAUGGAAGAGAUUCCACCAACAAGCCCAACAGUUGAAGGAAGAUAGGUGCUUGGGAUAGCUGAGAGAGGAGAAAUGUAUCGCCACUUUUUCUGCUUGCAGGCAAUAGGGGACUCAUUUAUUGGCUAUACUGUUGCCUUGAGCAAUUUAGUAAUAUGUCAGAUGAAUUGUUGCCAAAAUAUGGUAAGCCUGGAAAGGUAGCUGGGAUUCUUUUAAAUUAAAGGGUAGAUGAUCCUCUGGUACCACCUAAAGCAUUGCCCUGUCAGGGUCUAUUUAGAACUUAAACAGGAAGUCCCUAAGAGUCUCCGAGGGGGCCCUAGAGUCCUUGAGUAAGUGAAAGCAGCUGUCAAAAGGUGUAUGCUUAACCUGCUUAGGGGACAAUAUUAUAGAGAUCUGUGGCAAUUUGUGCCACCAAAUUGCACCCAAGAUCUUCUACCUAACAUUGCUGCCCCUCCGCAUAGCCAGCUGCUUCAUAACCAAUAUCAUAUUCUACUAGAAGAUGAAAAGGUGAAAGCACCGGUAGGAAUAUCUUCUGUGGUAAAUGAGAAGGAAAGGAUGUGGGCACUGUGAUGAGUCAGGGUGAGAAGGGCCAGUUUAAAUUAACCCUGUUACACUUAGUUUAAAAAGACUUCAAAUUCCUUCCUGUGUUAGGUCCCCUUAUAGUCUGCCAGUAGGAGACUAUGCAGUACAGUGGACUGUACUUCUUACUUAAUAGUAAAAUAAAAAUAUAGUCAGGCAGCUUCUCACCUUAGUGUUGGACCCUCACACCAAACACAUGUAACAAAACAAAUCAAAUAUACUUACAAUGGUUGGGCACCAUAUAUAUACCUUAAAGGAUCACUAUAGUGUCAGCAAAACAAAACCCGUUUUCCUGACACUAUAGUGCCCUGAGGGUGCCCCCACCCUCAUGGUCCCCCUCACGUAACCCCUUCAGCAGCUUAUCUUAUUCCAGUGCCGGGCUCCCUCGGCGCUGGUGACCUCUCCUCCCCCGCCGACGUCAGCUCCCCCGUCAGCAGAGCCAAAUGCACAUGCGCGGCAAGUGCCACGCACGCAUUCAAAGUGUCCAUAAGAAAGCAUUUCUCAAUGCUUUCCUAUAGACGCUCUGCUUGAUGGAGGUGAAAUGUGCCUCCAGCGUUGCAGAUGCGCCUCUAGUGGCUGUCCGGAAGACAGCCACUAGAGGCUGGAUUAACC